GAGUUCACUCUGCAGAACUGCUGCAGUACAUCGGUUGGUCCACUACGGACUUUUACUAUAAUUGUUUACCUCUAUCAGGUAUUUUUUUAAUUCGGUUGAAUUUAAGUUAGAAAACAUAACAUGGACAAAGACUUUAACCAUCGGGUACCGGACAUAUGGAAAACUGCAGCAGACCGAGAGGAACUUGAACCUGCUCUGUAGAAGAUUAUACAAUCCUGUUUUGUCUUGGAUCUACUGUGGAUCGCUGGGACUUAAGUCCAAAAUGAUACAGAGGUGUGUUGUAUAUGGAGCUGCUCCAGAGAAGUCUCCUACCACGUCAUUUUCAAAAGAUCAGCAUUGAAGCAUUGUUUACAGUAAGAAUAGGCACCAACAGAAAGACAAAUCCAACACUAAUGCACCAAGGAUCAAGGUGAUUUUUGGCAGCUUGGAGAAUUUUUCUUCAUCUGGUACAGAAUCUCUGACAUUUUGGUAUUUGUAAUGUUUAUUUUAUUAUAUUUGUAUACUUAUGCUAGAUAUUAAUAUACUUGUAUAGUUACUGUAUGUUUCUGAAUUAAAAGAUAGCCCCAGGU